GAAAAAGUGGAAAGAUUUGGCUGAUUGCAACCACGGAAAAAAAGCGCUAAAAUGCAUAUU
rfam:Butyricimonas synergistica isolate 43_13 Ley3_66761_scaffold_471, whole genome shotgun sequence.